rnacentral:rRNA from 1 species
UACGAAGGGGGCUAGCGUUGCUCGGAAUCACUGGGCGUAAAGCGCACGUAGGCGGCUUUUUAAGUCAGAGGUGAAAUCCUGGAGCUCAACUCCAGAACUGCCUUUGAUACUGGAGAGCUUGAGUCCGGGAGAGGUGAGUGGAACUGCGAGUGUAGAGGUGAAAUUCGUAGAUAUUCGCAAGAACACCAGUGGCGAAGGCGGCUUCCUGGCCUAGUACUGACGCUGUGGCGCGAAAGCUAGGGGAGCAAACGGGG